rnacentral:rRNA from 1 species
UGGGGAAUUUUGGACAAUGGGCGAAAGCCUGAUCCAGCAAUGCCGCGUGUGUGAAGAAGGCCUUCGGGUUGUAAAGCACUUUUGUCCGGAAAGAAAUCCUUGGCUCUAAUACAGUCGGGGGAUGACGGUACCGGAAGAAUAAGCACCGGCUAACUACGUGCCAGCAGCCGCGGUAAUACGUAGGGUGCAAGCGUUAAUCGGAAUUACUGGGCGUAAAGCAUGCGCAGGCGGUUUGCUAAGACCGAUGUGAAAUCCCCGGGCUCAACCUGGGAACUGCAUUGGUGACUGGCAGGCUAGAGUAUGGCAGAGGGGGGUAGAAUUCCACGUGUAGCAGUGAAGUGCGUAGAGAUGUGGAGGAAUACCGAUGGCGAAGGCAGCCCCCUGGGCCAAAUACUGACGCUCAUGCACGAAAGCGUGGGGAGCAAAACAGGAUUAGAUACCCUGGUAGUCCACGCCCUAAAACGAUGUCAACUAGUUGUUGGGGAUUCAUUUCCUUAGUAACGUAGCUAACGCGUGAAGUUGACCGCCUGGGGAGU